rnacentral:misc_RNA from 1 species
CAACCAAUCAAGCCUGGCUUGGUAUUGGGGCACGCGGUUCCGCGGCUCCUAAAAUCAGUGGCGGCGCCGGUGGGCUCUUAGCGUAGUAAUAUCUCUCGCUAUUGAGCUCUUUCGGUGGCUCGUCAGAACCCCCUAAUUUCUUAC